UCGAGGAUCUUCCCCAAUGGGCGAAAGCCUGAGGGAGCGACGCCGCGUGCGGGAUGAAGGCCUUCGGGUUGUAAACCGCUUUAGGAGGGGAGGAAGCCGCAAGGUUGACCUAUCCCCAAAAUAAGCACGGGCUAAGUUCGUGCCAGCAGCCGCGGUAAGACGAACCGUGCGAACGUUGUUCGGAAUCACUGGGCUUAAAGGGUGUGUAGGCGGUCUGCCAAGUCAGGGGUGAAAUCUUUCGGCUCAACCGGAAAACUGCCUUUGAUACUGGCAGGCUCGAGCGGGGUAGGGGUUGCGGGAACUACCAGUGGAGCGGUGAAAUGCGUUGAUAUUGGUAGGAACGCCGGUGGCGAAAGCGCGCAACUGGACCCCUUCUGACGCUGAAACACGAAAGCUAGGGGAGCAAACGGGAUUAGAUACCCCCGUAGUCC
rnacentral:rRNA from 1 species